GAUUAGAUACCCUGGUAGUCCACGCCGUAAACGAUGUCGACUUGGAGGUUGUUCCCUUGAGGAGUGGCUUCCGGAGCUAACGCGUUAAGUCGACCGCCUGGGGAGUACGGCCGCAAGGUUAAAACUCAAAUGAAUUGACGGGGGCCCGCACAAGCGGUGGAGCAUGUGGUUUAAUUCGAUGCAACGCGAAGAACCUUACCUACUCUUGACAUCCAGAGAACUUAGCAGAGAUGCUUUGGUGCCUUCGGGAACUCUGAGACAGGUGCUGCAUGGCUGUCGUCAGCUCGUGUUGUGAAAUGUUGGGUUAAGUCCCGCAACGAGCGCAACCCUUAUCCUUUGUUGCCAGCGAUUCGGUCGGGAACUCAAAGGAGACUGCCGGUGAUAAACCGGAGGAAGGUGGGGAUGACGUCAAGUCAUCAUGGCCCUUACGAGUAGGGCUACACACGUGCUACAAUGGCGCAUACAAAGAGAAGCGACCUCGCGAGAGCAAGCGGACCUCAUAAAGUGCGUCGUAGUCCGGAUCGGAGUCUGCAACUCGACUCCGUGAAGUCGGAAUCGCUAGUAAUCGUGGAUCAGAAUGCCACGGUGAAUACGUUCCCGGGCCUUGUACACACCGCCCGUCACACCAUGGGAGUGGGUUGCAAAAGAAGUAGGUAGCUUAACCUUCGGGAGGGCGCUUACCACUUUGUGAUUCAUGACUGGGGUGAAGUCGUAACAAGG
rnacentral:rRNA from 1 species